UACGGGGGGAGCAAGCGUUGUUCGGAUUUACUGGGCGUAAAGGGCGCGGUAGGCGGUCAGCACAAGUCAGUUGUGAAAUCUCCGGGCUUAACUCGGAAAGGUCAACUGAUACUGUGCGACUAGAGUGCGGAAGGGGCAACUGGAAUUCCCAAGUGUAGCGGUGAAAUGCGUAGAUAUUGGGAGGAACACCAGUGGCGAAGGCGGACCCACUCGGCCCGAUACUGACGCUGAGGUGCGAAAGCCAGGGGAGCGAACGGG
rnacentral:rRNA from 1 species